rnacentral:rRNA from 1 species
CCUACGGGAGACAGCAGUGGGGAAUAUUGCACAAUGGGGGAAACCCUGAUGCAGCGACGCCGCGUGAGUGAAGAAGUAUUUCGGUAUGUAAAGCUCUAUCAGCAGGGAAGAAAUAGCGACCUUUGGGUCGCCAGACGGUACCUGAUUAAGAAGCCCCGGCUAACUACGUGCCAGCAGCCGCGGUAAUACGUAGGGGGCAAGCGUUAUCCGGAUUUACUGGGUGUAAAGGGAGCGUAGACGGCAGCGCAAGUCUGAAGUGAAAUGCCGGGGCUUAACCCCGGAACUGCUUUGGAAACUGUGCAGCUAGAGUGCAGGAGAGGCAGGCGGAAUUCCUAGUGUAGCGGUGAAAUGCGUAGAUAUUAGGAGGAACACCAGUGGCGAAGGCGGCCUGCUGGACGGUGACUGACGCUGAGGCUCGAAAGCGUGGGGAGCAAACAGGAUUAGAUACCUGGGUAGUC